UAUUUUUUGUAUGUAGGUCCCUCUUGUUUGUUCUUGUUCUUUUUUGUUUGAACAAAUCGAUCUUUUUAUCAAAAUGCAGCAGCAAGGGAAGAACAAUCAACCACUUCAGGUCAGCAUGGAGGCCCCCCGUCGCAGCACCCAUCCAAGCAUCAAGGUCAAUCAGCCGGCGAUAAGGGUUACCCGCCGCCCGCUGUUCCCGUACAUGUUGUGACUCUUGGGAUGUACGGGCCUGGGUUGUGUCCAAAUUGUGGUGGAUUGAUGAUAACCGAUAAUAACGCCCUCGUUUGUGGAAUCAUUUGCGCCAUUUGCUUAUUUCCUGUUGGCUUGUUUGUGGAAGAAACAAUGCGUCAAGUGUGGGUUUGAAGUCAAAGAAUGUUGCUGAACAAAUACAAAUUCCAAAAUGGAGA